rnacentral:rRNA from 1 species
CAAUAGCGUAUAUUAAAGUUGUUGCAGUUAAAAAGCUCGUAGUCGGACUUCUGCGGGUGGCGGCCGGUCGUGCUCGAAACGGGCGUGAACUUGGCGUGCUGCCCGCAUCUUUGGGGAGAUUGUGCGUGGCAUUAAGUUGUCGUGCAUGGGAUUCUCAUCAUUUACUGUGAAAAAAUUAGAGUGUUUAAAGCAGGCCUUUGCCUUGAAUACAUUAGCAUGGAAUAAUAAGAUAGGACCGUUGUCUAUUUUGUUGGUUUACAGAUGUCGGUAAUGAUUAAUAGGGAUAGUUGGGGGUAUUCGUAUUCAGUUGUCAGAGGUGAAAUUCUUGGAUUUUCGGAAGACGCACGACUGCGAAAGCAUUUACCAAGGAUGUUUUCAUUA